CGGGCGUCCUCACAAAUUACCUGCAUUCAGAGAUUCAUACCGGCACAGGUCGGUAUGCGAAGUCCCUUUUGGGGCCUUAGCUCAGCUGGGAGAGCACCUGCUUUGCAAGCAGGGGGUCGUCGGUUCGAUCCCGACAGGCUCCACCAUAUUGAGUGAAAAGACUUCGGGUCUGUAGCUCAGGUGGUUAGAGCGCACCCCUGAUAAGGGUGAGGUCGGUAGUUCGAGUCUACCCAGACCCACCACUCUGAAUGUAGUGCACACUUAAGAAUUUAUACGGAUCAGCGUUGAGGCUGGUACGUGUUCUUUUAUAACUUGUGACGUAGCGAGCGUUUGAGAUAUCUAUCUAAACGUGUCGUUGAGGCUAAGGCGGGGACUUCGAGUCCCUAAAUAAUUGAGUCGUAUGUUCGCGUUGGUGGCUUUGUACCCCACACAACACGUACAUAUAGCUCCGAGGCAACUUGGGGUUAUAUGGUCAAGCGAAUAAGCGCACACGGUGGAUGCCUAGGCGGUCAGAGGCGAUGAAGGACGUGGUAGCCUGCGAAAAGUGUCGGGGAGCUG
rnacentral:misc_RNA from 1 species